rnacentral:rRNA from 1 species
CCUAAAUACUAAUACCAGAUCGAUAGUGCACAAGUACCGUGAGGGAAAGGUGAAAAGAACUGAGGUGAUCAGAGUGAAAUAGAACCUGAAACCAUUUGCUUACAAUCAUUCAGAGCCCUAUGUAGCAAUACAGGGUGAUGGACUGCCUUUUGCAUAAUGAGCCUGCGAGUUGUGGUGUCUGGCAAGGUUAAGCAAACGCGAAGCCGUAGCGAAAGCGAGUCUGAAUAGGGCGCUUAGUCAGAUGCUGCAGACCCGAAACGAAGUGAUCUAUCCAUGAGCAAGUUGAAGCUAGUGUAAGAACUAGUGGAGGACUGAACCCAUAGGCGUUGAAAAGCCCCGGGAUGACUUGUGGAUAGGGGUGAAAGGCCAAUCAAACUUCGUGAUAGCUGGUUCUCUCCGAAAUAUAUUUAGGUAUAGCGUUGUGUCGUAAUAUAAGGGGGUAGAGCACUGAAUGGGCUAGGGCAUACACCAAUGUACCAAACCCUAUCAAACUCCGAAUACCUUAUAUGUAAUCACAGCAGUCAGGCGGCGAGUGAUAAAAUCCGUCGUCAAGAGGGAAACAACCCAGACUACCAGCUAAGGUCCCUAAAUCUUACUUAAGUGGAAAACGAUGUGAAGUUACUUAAACAACCAGGAGGUUGGCUUAGAAGCAGCCAUCCUUUAAAGAAAGCGUAAUAGCUCACUGGUCUAGUGAUUUUGCGCGGAAAAUAUAACGGGGCUAAAGUAAGUACCGAAGCUGUAGACUUGCGCACAACUUAGAUUAUUUAAGUUUAGAAUAUGAGAAACUAAGUUAUAUGUUUAGUUAUAUUUUUACUGAUUUUUAUAGAGUAAAGAUAGAAAUAAAACUUAGUAAAAUCAGUAAAAAUAUUCUUAGACUAAAGUUAAGUAGUUUAAGUUGUGUGCAAGUGGUAGGAGAGCGUUCUAUUUGCGUCGAAGGUAUACCGGUAAGGAGUGCUGGAGCGAAUAGAAGUGAGCAUGCAGGCAUGAGUAGCGAUAAUUAAUGUGAGAAUCAUUAACGCCGUAAACCCAAGGUUUCCUACGCGAUGCUCGUCAUCGUAGGGUUAGUCGGGUCCUAAGUCGAGUCCGAAAGGGGUAGACGAUGGCAAAUUGGUUAAUAUUCCAAUACCAACAUUAGUGUGCGAUGGAAGGACGCUUAGGGCUAAGGGGGCUAGCGGAUGGAAGUGCUAGUCUAAGGUCGUAGGAGGUUAUACAGGCAAAUCCGUAUAACAAUACUCCGAGAACUGAAAGGCUUUUUGAAGUCUUCGGAUGGAUAGAAGAACCCCUGAUGCCGUCGAGCCAAGAAAAGUUUCUAAGUUUAGCUAAUGUUGCCCGUACCGUAAACCGACACAGGUGGGUGGGAUGAGUAUUCUAAGGCGCGUGGAAGAACUCUCUUUAAGGAACUCUGCAAAAUAGCACCGUA